AACACCUAGAACAGAAAAGACAGAUGCAAUCACCCAGUUCACCAAGCUGAAUUUUCUGUUAAAUUGGAGACUUCAUGGAAUUAAUCCUGAGCAGAAUACGAGUGCACCACAAAUUGCUCGUCAAGUAAAUAUUUAAGAUGUGUAUACAGUAAAUCUCUGGAGUUUAGUAAAAUCAGGACUCAGGGGCAUGUGCAACAGCAAUUCCUUACCCACUGCUGCCUUAGGAAAAUGGUAAUAAGUAGUGAUAGCAUUCAAAAUUUUGUAUAGUUUUACUUUGCUGUAAAGCUAUCUGAUUCUUUCAUCUUUUUUUUGGGUCAUAUUUUAGACAAAUAUGCUCAAAUUAAUCAUCAUAGCUCUAGUUUGCUGGUAGGUGUCCAUUUCAAAGGAGCUGAAAGUUAUGCAAAAUUUCUUGAGUUCAUUAACUGCAAACUGUCACCUGAUUCUAUUAGAAAAAGCUUCAGGCUCUCAAAGCACAUGUUACACAGCAAUGUUUCGGUUCUAGCUUUGGCCGGUUGGGGUAAUUUCACAUAGGUAAAAAUGAUAAUGGUACAAGACACAUUGACACCACUAAAAAGAACGUACAAAUGCACAGUGACACUUCACACAGGGGUUGCACAUAAGACACUCACAAAUUUGAAGUCUGGCACUGUGGGGAGCCGAGGACUCUUUAAUCUCAUUAAGCUCAGUGUGAGUUGAGAGUGCUUGGUGGUUCGGGUGCUCGGGCCCUCAGUGAGGCUCUGCACAUUCAUGUCACAGACAGGAGUAAUUUCACCUUUCUAGUGUGUGUGUGUUCCUAAUUGCUAGAUUAGUACAAUUGCUGAUAAUCACGAGUAAUAGAAAUGGAUUUCUGGUACUGAAGUGCUCUUUCUGGAAGUUAAUAAAGCUCAUUCAACAUCGCCUACAGUUUUACAACACUCUGUAAUGCAAUAAUGUAAUGAGUACAAUGUGAGUACUGUACAAAAGACAGUGUAAAGUUAAAAAUGGAUCUAGGGUAGUGCUGCUUUUGAAUAUGAGCAGUGCAAGGUAUAAAUUACUUCCUUGAGAUGGAUACAGGAAUUAAUCUGUGAACAAUGCAGCCCAGCUCACAUUAAAAUUCGCUCCCUUUUUUUCCAGAUUUGCUUCCUGUCCUUUCCUUCCAGUUGUUUCAUGUGACUACAGGGGCUUUUACCACCACCAGAUCCUUUCAAGCUGAACCAGCUGGAAGGGCACUGAAAGGAAUGAGUCAAGCAACUCUCUAGCUACUGGACUGCAUCAAGAAGGCACAACAUAAGCAAUGGUAAAGUCAGUAAACAAAAUUUUACUGUAAUAUUUUGUAACACAGAUACUGUAUUUCUCUUUGAAGUGUAAAGCUACCGUCUUACACAAGAAAGAUGGACAGACCCUUUUCCAAGACUAAUAUGGAUACAAUAAAUAUGGAGUUUUACAUA